AUUGAACGCUAGCGGGAUGCCUUACACAUGCAAGUCGAACGGAGUGGCGAACGGGUGAGUAAUGUAUCGGAACGUGCCCAGUAGCGGGGGAUAACUACGAGAAAGCGUAGCUAAUACCGCAUAAUAUUGAGGCGGCCGGUAUCGGAUUAGCUAGUUGGUGGGGUAACGGCUCACCAGGGCGACGAUCCGUAGCUGGUUUGAGAGGCAGACCAGCCAAACUGGGACUGAUACACGGCCCAGACUCCUACGGGCGGCAGCAUUGGGAAAUUUUCGACAAUGGCGGAAGCCCGUAUCCAGCCAUCCGGCGUGUGCGAUGAAGGCCUUCGGGUUUUAAAGCACUUUUGGCAGGAAAGCGGUACCUGAAGAAUAAGCACCGGCUAACUACGUGCCAGCAGCCGCGGUAAUAC
rnacentral:rRNA from 1 species